GAUGAACGCUGGCGGCGUGCCUAAUACACGCAAGUCGAGCGAACGGACGAGAAGCUUGCUUCUCUGAUGUUAGCGGCGGACGGGUGAGUAACACGUGGAUAACCUACCUAUAAGACUGGGAUAACUUCGGGAAACCGGAGCUAAUACCGGAUGAUAUUUUGAACCGCAUGGUUCAAAAGUGAAAGACGGUCUUGCUGUCACUUAUAGAUGGAUCCGCGCUGCAUUAGCUAGUUGGUAAGGUAACGGCUUACCAAGGCAACGAUGCAUAGCCGACCUGAGAGGAGGAGCAGCGACACUGGGAGGGAGGCACGGCGAAGACUCGUACGGGAGGCAGAAGUGGGGAAUAGUGGACAAUGGGGGAGAGAAUGAUCAAGCAAGGCCGCGGGAGAGAUGAAGGCCGUAGGGAAGUAAAGCUCUUUUACCCGGGAUGAUAAUGACAGGACCGGGAGAAGAAGCUCCGGCUAACGCCGUG
rnacentral:rRNA from 1 species